GGGGGUUUAGCUCAGUGGCAUAAGCACCUAUCUUGCAAGUAGGCGGUCGUGAGUUCGAUCCCCGCUACCGAUA
rnacentral:tRNA from 1 species